GUGUUCUAUAAAAGUGAAGAAUUAGAUUAGCACUCUUCUUGGCAAUAAUGGAAAACGUUCUAAUGAUCUACACCAGACACAUACACUUAAGCUAUCACCACCUCUUUAGAGCACCUAACAAUAAUUUUUA
rnacentral:ncRNA from 1 species